GGGUCAGUAGGUUGGUCGUGCCACCGGUACGUACUGGUCUCACUGAUUCCUCCUUCCUGAAGAACCGUAAUGCCAUUAAUUUGGUGUUGCGGGGAAACAGGACUGUUACUUUGAAAAAAUUAGAGUUUUUAAAGCAAGCUAACGCUUGAAUACAUUAGCAAGGAAUAAUGAAAUAGGACGAUCGAUCCUAUUUUGUUGGUUUCUAGGAUUGACGUA
rnacentral:rRNA from 1 species